GACGAACGCUGGCGGCGUGCUUAACACAUGCAAGUCGAACGGAAAGGCCAUGCUUUUGUGGGGUGCUCGAGUGGCGAACGGGUGAGUAACACGUGAGUAACCUGCCCUUGACUUUGGGAUAACUUCAGGAAACUGGGGCUAAUACCGGAUAGGAGCUCCUGCUGCAUGGUGGGGGUUGGAAAGUUUCGGCGGUUGGGGAUGGACUCGCGGCUUAUCAGCUUGUUGGUGGGGUAGUGGCUUACCAAGGCUUUGACGGGUAGCCGGCCUGAGAGGGUGACCGGCCACAUUGGGACUGAGAUACGGCCCAGACUCCUACGGGAGGCAGCAGUGGGGAAUAUUGCACAAUGGGCGGAAGCCUGAUGCAGCAACGCCGCGUGCGUGAUGACGGCCUUCGGGUUGUAAACCGCUUUCGCCUGUGACGACGCGUUCGUGACGGUACUGGGUAAAGAAGCACCGGCUAACUACGUG
rnacentral:rRNA from 1 species